rnacentral:sRNA from 1 species
GCCGGGUGUGGUGGCUCAUGCCUGUAAUCCCAGCACUUUGGGAGGCUGAGGCAGGUGGAUCACUUGAGCCCAGGAAUUGGAGACCAGCCUGGCCAAUGUGGUGAAACCCUGUCUCUACUAAAAAUACACAAAUUAGCUGGGCGUGGUGGCUUGUGCCUGUAAUCCCAGCUACUUGGGAGGCUGAGGCAGGAAAAUCACUUGAACCCAGGAGGUGGAUGUUGCAGUGAGCCGAGAUGUCGCCACUGCACUCCAGCCUGGGCGACAGAGUGAGACUCCAUCUCA